CCUACGGGAGGCAGCAGUGAGGAAUAUUGGUCAAUGGCCGGAAGGCUGAACCAGCCAAGCCGCGUGAAGGACGAAGGUGCCAUGCAUUGUAAACUUCUUUUGUCAAGGGACAAAAUCAGGCUCGAGAGCCUGACCGAGGGUACUUGAAGAAAAAGCAUCGGCUAACUCCGUGCCAGCAGCCGCGGUAAUACGGAGGAUGCGAGCGUUAUCCGGAUUUAUUGGGUUUAAAGGGUGCGUAGGCGGACUGUUAAGUUAGGGGUAAAAGCCCGGGGCUAAACCCGGGCGAGCCGUUGAAACUGGCUGUCUAGAGAUGUCGAGAGGUAGGCGGAAUGUGCAGUGUAGCGGUGAAAUGCUUAGAUAUUGCGCAGAACACCGAUUGCGAAGGCAGCAUACCGGCGGCGAUCUGACGCUGAGGCACGAAAGCGUGGGUAGCGAACAGGAUUAGAUACCCGAGUAGUC
rnacentral:rRNA from 1 species